GUGAAGGACUGGCUCGAGCCGAUUGUAUUUGUAGAAGGGAUUUCGAGACAAUGCAUCUGGUACAAGUAUUUUGGAAUAUUCCGUCAUAGAGGGUGAUAAUCCCGUAUUGACCGUUUUGCUUGUUUUUGUGAAACCCUUUCGACGAGUCGAGUUGUUUGGGAAUGCAGCUCAAAAUGGGUGGUAAAUUUCAUCUAAAGCUAAAUAUCAGCCAGAGACCGAUAGCGCACAAGUAGAGUGAUCGAAAGAUGAAAAGCACCUUGAAAAGGGAGUGAAACAGCACGUGAAAUUGUUGAAAGGGAAGCGCUUGCAACCAGACUUGCUUGCAGCAUUCAGCCUCUCGAAAGAGCGGUGCAUUUUGCUGUACUGCAGGCCAACAUCGGUUUAGGUGGUUGGACAAAAACUGAGGAACGUACCUUUUUCACGGAAAAGCGUUAUAGCCUCUUGUGUUUUUAACCUAUCUGGACCGAGGACUGCGUUUUCGGCGAGGAUGACCCCGCCCUGGUUGUCAGCUAUU
rnacentral:rRNA from 1 species